rnacentral:rRNA from 1 species
GUCCGAGUUGUAAUUUGAAGAAGGUAUCUUUGGGUCUGGCUCUUGUCUAUGUUUCUUGGAACAGAACGUCACAGAGGGUGAGAAUCCCGUGCGAUGAGAUGAUCCAGGCCUAUGUAAAGUUCCUUCGAAGAGUCGAGUUGUUUGGGAAUGCAGCUCUAAGUGGGUGGUAAAUUCCAUCUAAAGCUAAAUAUUGGCGAGAGACCGAUAGCGAACAAGUACAGUGAUGGAAAGAUGAAAAGAACUUUGAAAAGAGAGUGAAAAAGUACGUGAAAUUGUUGAAAGGGAAGGGCUUGAGAUCAGACUUGGUAUUUUGUAUGUUACUUCUUCGGGGGUGGCCUCUACAGUUUAUCGGGCCAGCAUCAGUUUGGGCGGUAGGAGAAUUGCGUUGGAAUGUGGCACGGCUUCGGUUGUGUGUUAUAGCCUUCGUCGAUACUGCCAGCCUAGACUGAGGACUGCGGUUUAUACCUAGGAUGUUGGCAUAAUGAUCUUAAGUCGCCCGUCUUGAAACACGGACCAAGGAGUCUAACGUCUAUGCGAGUGUUUGGGUGUAAAACCCGUACGCGUAAUGAAAGUGAACGUAGGUGGGGGCCCGUAUGGGUGCACCAUCGACCGAUCCUGAUGUCUUCGGAUGGAUUUGAGUAAGAGCAUAGCUGUUGGGACCCGAAAGAUGGUGAACUAUGCCUGAAUAGGGUGAAGCCAGAGGAAACUCUGGUGGAGGCUCGUAGCGGUUCUGACGUGCAAAUCGAUCGUCGAAUUUGGGUA